GUUUUUUCGCAAAUUUUGACGCCGAAACUAACAUUAGGGUUUACAGCACAAGUAUAUAUACAUAUAAAGCUGUGACCACACGAUCCCAACCAUCUAUGUCUGAUGGCACUGGCACGUUUUGUUGAAUUUGUGAGGUGAGUUUUGUUUUUCUUCUUCUUCCCUGUUCUCUCUGAUCCAAAAAUGGUGAAGGCUCUAUAUUAAGAGUCAACAGCAGGAGCUUGUUCUAUAGUUACCUGACUGCCGCUUAGAGCCAAGAUGAAAACACCAGUUGAAGAUCCUUGAAACAUAUCUCCUUUGUUUCAAGACACAAUUUCUGGUCAAAUUUUGUUUUUUUGUUUUCGUCAAUUGUUGUUGAUGGCACUUCAGUCAGACACGGGUGUUUGUUGCUGAAUCUAAAAACAAACAACCUUUUGCAUGGUGCCUAUAUAUAAUCGGCUAUUGAUUCACGAUUGGGGGAACUUUUCAUCUCUGGUUCCUUCAAAUUUCAAGCAGCUACAUCUUCUUCAAUGAAUAAACUUUUAUAAACCUAAAACUGUACAUUUUGCUCAUCAAAAUGUAUUUGAGAGGCACAUUAGAAACUAGUAGAGAUUAUUCAGCAAGAUUUCAGAAACAAAAUGAAACCUGGAAAAAGAAAGUAAAAAAAAAAAUGAAAGUUUUAGAAUUAAAUUUGAAGUCUUUGAACCUCUCAUAGCAACUGCUACUAUCUCAAAUUCAUCAGUCACAACUGAAAACUGUAUGAGAUUAGCAUGUUUAGUAUCAGCAAAACACUUUAAAUUGUAUGACAUUACAAUGUUUCAGUAUCAGCAAAACACUUUAAACUGCACGACAUUACCAUGUCUCUAGUAUCAUCAGCCAAACACUUUGAAACAGAGUGAAAUCAAUUUCAGAAUCACUUAAGUCAGCAUCAAAAUCCAUUUCGUAGUACUACAUCAUCAAAACAUAGUUAGCAACUUUUCUGAUAUUCUUCAUACUACAUCAGUUUCAGGUUUAGUUUUAAAAUCAAAAUUCAAUUUAUCAGUAGUACUAUUAAUACUGACCUCACCAUCAGAAUUCACAGGUCUAAUUAUUAGAAUCAUGAAUAACAGCCAACUUCCUAAAACCAACCAUUAGCUUUUCAAAAUCAUCAGUAUAGAUAUAAUACACAUCCAACAAAAUCAAGUGAUGCAUCAGCAACUUUCUCGGUCAAACGUUGCAACCUCUUUUGUUGAAUUUUGAUUUAAACGUUACAACCUUCUUUGUGAACGUUGGAAGAUUACCAACGUAUGCCUCCUUUUUUGUUACUUUCUUGAGAGGGUUAGUUCCAUCACAGGGUCUAUAAAUAGACCUUCAUUUGCUCUUCGUUUCAUUUUGGAAGAUUACACAACAUUUUCUCUUUUUUGUCCUCUCCUCUUAGUUUCAUUAUUUUUUCUUUUUCUUUUCUAAUAAUAUUUUAGAUUUAUUUAAAAUUUCUUACUAGUUCUGGUAUUCUACAUUUCUGGAAAAUUCUGGUUGAAUAGUGGAAGGUCUAUUUAUCUUUUGAAAAAUCUUUGUUGCUAUUUUUUAUUAUCUUUUGUCAACUUUUUUAAGUCAAUUUUAAGAAUCAAUAACUUAUAUCGACCAAUGAGAAUAUUGUUUUUGAAACUCAUACGGUGUUUUCGAAACAUUUUUUAGAUGAAGUCUUAUCUAAUCAUAAUUUCUAGCAUCAUAUAAUUUGUAAUGGUUGAAUAAUGUCUAUUUUAGUGCUUUAGCACUAAUUCUUUGCCUUUCCUUGGGAAUGCAGGUCAGUUGCAAUAUCAUGAUCGUUUUCUUAUCGAAACAGAAAAGGUCUAAUUUGUAAAGCUAGGUUGAUGGAUGAAGCCAAGAGGGUUUAUGAGGAGCUAUCAACUUUUGGUAUAGCUCUGAUCUUGUAUGUCAUCGUACCCUGCUGAAAUGUGGAAAGAAUGAAUGAACUAUUUUGAAAGCAUAAGUGAGUCAACAAAAGGCGAAAGCUUCAUCAUGAGUAAAGCUGUGCAUUCUUACAAAUCUGCCGAAAAGCAAUGUAAAGCCAAAGCUAAGGAAUUUUAAUGAACAAUGGAAUCCCAUUCUUUAAGAAACUUGAGGUUGUAUUAGGAGAGUGAAAACUCCAUGAGAUACUUGUGUAUGUGAGAAGAAUUAUGACAGUGGAACAAACUAAUCAACUUGGCAAUGGUCAUGGUGGAUGUUGCAUGUAUGCUGUGGGUGACAUGAUGAUUGGGCUCGUGGCUCAGAAGCACAUUUGUGAGGGGGACGUGAUUCACGUUUUACUUUUUGGAAAUAGUCAUAAUAUGGAGAAUUAUGUUAUAAUAGAAUCUGUGUUGGUUCGAAUCUCUAUAAUUAGGAUGUUCAAAAUUCAUUCAACUGCACUAAACUAUCAAAUAAAUGUAUUAUAUUAUACCACAAAUUUGGAAUUGUUUAGAUUUAAAACUAAACUCUACCUUCAGUUUUAAAAAAUUGAACUCGACUUUUAGUUUUAAAAAAUUGAACUUCUAAAAUU
rnacentral:lncRNA from 1 species